UUAUGACUGGUCAACAGAUCCUCCAGUUUAUAGGUCUGACCUACAAACUUGGAACAUGACCUUUUCAUUUUGGCGUGAGAUCGUUUCGCACCAGUCCCAAUGUGUUGUUUUGUCAUUUAGACCCUUGGAUAAAUUACCAAUCACCAAGCCAGA